GGAAGCGAAGUGCUCCGUCUCCCUGCCCUUCGUCGUCUAUGUUGCUGCCUACAGCCGCUCCGACUCUACCGGCAAUUUGCCGGCCUUCUUGGAUUUUGUAGACCGCCCCACGUUAGACCCAAGCCCCUUCACGUAACCAUGGAUCGAGUUCCCUUGCGUCAAUUACCUCCUGGCUGAAUCGCCAUGCUCCCAGCCAUAUAAAUAUUUGGCAGUGAAGGUCCCACUUCUCCACGAAGCUGGCGACAUCAGCACUCGGCAUGGCGGCGCUGGCGCUGGCGGCACCCGAGCGAGGAGGGUGGGGGAGGGGCGACUUGAGGUUCCGACAGCCGGAGACAGGAUGGAAGACGAGGUGGCGGACGAUAGCGACAACAACGUCGAGGAUGGAGGAGAUCCACCUCAAUAAAAUAAUUUUAAAAAGAGAGAGCUCAUCUACGUUUUUUUUAAUAAUAAUUUUUAUUUAUAAGGCAAGAAUUCGUAAAAUAUUUCCCAACACGAGCAUUGAGUCCAACGGCUAUCGAAUUCCAAUUUUAUACCAACACCUACGGUGAUCGUCUUUUUUAUUAU
rnacentral:lncRNA from 1 species